UAGCUCAGUUAGUAGAGUGCUUGCCUCGAAUGCAUGAGGCCCUGGGUUCAAUCCCCAG
rnacentral:tRNA from 1 species